ensembl:lncRNA FENDRR FOXF1 adjacent non-coding developmental regulatory RNA
AGACAGCGCGGGCUGGGAGCGCCGGCAAGGGCGGCCCUCGCGCACCUGGCUGCCAGCCCGCAGGGGGCUCGCACGCAGACCUGCCCUUGCCACCUCAGCGCUCGGGUGCGGGCUGGGGGCGGUGGAGCCACGAAAGGUGGUGCCGAGAGCGGAGCGCAGGACAGCGCAGGAGCCCCGGCGCAUCGCGGCGCGCACAGACCCAGGAUUUGUGAAGAGGUGACCCAAAUUUCAAGACAAUGUUGGAUGCAAACGGAUUUGCCAGCAACUGCAUCACUGUCAAAACCAGCUCUGCCCGUGUCUUCCGAAGAUACCAAGUGAAAUACAUGUAGAUGGGAUUUACAUCUGAAAAACCAAGUGAGAAACUGAAGACCAGAGAGGGUGAGUGGUUUACUCAGUUUGGCACAACUGACCCCAACCUAGCCCUCCAUGAGGACUGAGCGCAUGAGAGAUCCUGAGCCACAGCCGCCCAGCCCUGCUCCUCUCGAAUUUCUGACCUACAGGAACUGCAAGAAGUAAUGAAAGACUGCUGUUUAAAGCCACUGCAUUUUGGCAUGAUUUGUUAUGCAGUCGUAGAUAACCAGAAAACAUCGGAUUUACAUUUUAAGGAUUACUUCAUGCACAUAAAAGAAAACGCAACUACAGUGGACCCUGAACAACGUAGGAAACAGAGAAGCAAAGAAGUUAGCAAGCUUGUUUUGGCAGAAGAAAAAACACAAAAUACCCAACCACAGAUCCUCAAAAAUAUUGCUAAGCACUAAUUUUGCUAACAUGUUAGACAGCCUUCGGAUCUAGGCAAUCUUGUUCCUCAGCUGGAAAGAGUUCCUGCCAGCCAUGUGAUUCCAAAUCCACCCUGGACAUAUGGGGAUAAUGAGAAAAUCAGCUCCGGCCUUCCCUGGCCUUCCAGCCAAGUGAAUGGGGGCAUCCCCUGGUGCUUCAGCCCGGGGCCCACCCAGAGGAUGCUAGCUGGCCUGCAGAGGCCUCAACCAUGCCCUCCUGGACUCAGGUAAGACUGAGGUUUCCAUGCCCUCAAAACAAUUGUUCAGACAAAAACUCACUGCCCAGGUCAAAGUCACAGCACCAGAAAGCCAACCUGAGGAUGAAGACAAAGCUCUUUGUUGGCACAGUCCCCUGAUCAUUCGAGGUCAGCAUCUCCAUCAAAAUGGACCCAAUGCUGAGGCAAGAAGGAGAACAUCACUGUUAAGAAGGUAAUGAGUCACAAAUGCUAUUUCGAUGGUUUUCUUUGAAAGAAAUACACAGAACCAAACCAAUUUUAAUUAAAGAUCUUGUCUUUGUAAUCAGGCAGCCACAAAUGAAGGCAAAACUGCUUUCAUGUGGCAUAAUAUACACAGAGCUGAACUAGUUUUCCCAUAAAAGGGCAGGUUCUUUUCUUCAAAUAAGAAAAGAGUUUGUUCCUAACAAUAUGGGGGAUGCAACAGAAAGCUGUCUUUUGCAAAGUAUAAAAUUGCAGAUCCUCCCGUGGAAGCCAUUUCUUGAUGCUAAACCAAUGCGAACGUUUGCCAAACGCACAUGCGAGCCGGGAUUAUCCUACCCUUUGAGAUUAGACAUGUGAUCCUGAUUUUUAAGUGAAAAACGCAGCCAGAGGCCAAAUAAACAUACCUACAAGUACAUCGAAAGCUCAAAUGGUUGAGAAAUGAUUGUAACACACCCCGGUGUGUAUUUCUGAGGAAGAAUCAACAUGCACAUGGAAAUUGAUGUUUUGAUUUUUAAUUUUAAAACGACGACAGAACUGAAAUACCUCCCCUAACUAGGUCCACUGAAACCAGUGAGGAGAUAAUCAUUUUCAGUUAAAUAUGCAUGUAAUUUAAUAAUCCACAGAUGGAAAAUGCAUUUGAGGUGGACUGAACACAGCCAGGAGUUUUUGCUUAUCGACAGCACUGAAUCCUGCCUUGACUAGAGAGACUCGUCAUGUGAUCAACUGUGGCCAGAGGGCAUCCUGCAGACAGCUCCUGUCACACCACACUGACCAGACUCUUAUGAGUAUUUAAGCAUCUUCAGGGAAGCGAUUGACUGUCUUAUAAUGGUCUUACAAGUACGGAACUUUAUUACCUGCUAAUAAUCAGAGCACAUGAUGGCACAAUAGAAUAUACGAGUGAAGUUCUAAAUGCAAGGUUGUUCUUAUUCUGUGAGUGGCAAAACUCAUGCAGUGAGCAGAUAAAGCUGGCAGGAGGCAUUGGCGCCCUAAUGCUGGGCACUAACCACCUGCCCGGACUGCGAAUAUCUGUUGGGUCCUUUCUAUAUCUGGUCUAUUCUCGUGUUUGAUUAUAUCCUGGUGGCAAGAAUAGCAAAAUCAACUCUCCUUCCUAUCCCAUGUGGAGAGGCAUGAUUUGAGUCAGAGAGCAUUAUCCUCUCUGCGUUAUCCAACCCCAUGUCCCAUGAUGCACUUUGUAGACAAGCAAGUGUCCCUGGUGGAGAAUCCACAGCCACACAUCCUCAUUGGUUGCAAGGAUCAGUGUCCAAUAUCUACUGCCAUGAUCAUUCUCAGUUUUACAUCCACAGAGCUUCAUAGAAUUCUAACACCACAGGUCCAAGUAGAGGUUUUGGCCUCAGAGUGGGCUAGAUUCCACCUCUGACAGCAGCUGUGGGACUGUUUUUCCAUCUGUAAAAUGGAGACAAGAGUAUCACCUACCUCAUGGUGUUGGUGGGAUCGUUAAACAGAAUUCCGAUCAUGAAACCCUUAGCCUGCUCCCUGCAUAGGCUGCAUGCGCUCAGUGAGCUAUGGCUCUGUUUCAUGCUGACUUUACCAUCAUGUAAGCAGUUUUAAAAAUGCUAGAAGCUUUAGUCAUAGAAUUACCAUAUGAUACAGCCUACUGCAGAGUCCAGAGGCUGAGGCAGGAGAGUUACUUGAACCUGGGAGGCGGAGGUUGCAGUGAGCCAAGAUCGCGCCACUGCACUCCAGCCUGGGCAACAGAGUGAGAUUCUGUCUCAACACAAAAAAGAAGACAUGUGUCCCCAUCACAGUAUCAUACAGAGUGCUUCCACUGCCCUAAAAUACCCUGUGCUCUUCCUAUUCAUCCCUCUCUUCAACCCCAGCAACCACUGAUCCUUUUACCAUCUCCAUGGUUUUGCCUUUCCCAGAAUGUCAUAUUGUUGGAAUCAUACGCUAUGUAGCCUUUGCAAAUGGGCUUCUUUCACCGAGCAAUGUGCAUUGAAGGUGCCUCUAUGACUUUUCAAGGGUUGAUAGCUCAUUCCUUUUUAUUGCUAAAUAAUAUUCCAUUGUCUGAAUGUACCACAUUUUGUUUAUCCAUUCACCUACUAAAGGACAUCUUGGUUGCUUCCAAGUUUGGGCAAUUAUAAAUAAAACUGCUAUAA